GUGCUCGCUUUGGCAGCACAUAUUCUAAAAUUGGAACAAUACAGUGGAGACUAGCAUGGCCCCUGCGCAGGGAUGACGCCCAAAUUCAUGAAGUGUUCCAUAUAUUC